GAUGAACGCUGGCGGCGUGCCUAAUACAUGCAAGUCGAGCGAACGGACGAGAAGCUUGCUUCUCUGAUGUUAGCGGCGGACGGGUGAGUAACACGUGGAUAACCUACCUAUAAGACUGGGAUAACUUCGGGAAACCGGAUCUAAUACCGGAUGAUAUUUUGAACCGCAUGGUUCAAAAGUGAAAGACGGUCUUGCUGUCACUUAUAGAUGGAUCCGCGCUGCAUUAGCUAGUUGGUAAGGUAACGGCCUACCAAGGCAACGAUGCAUAGCCGACCUGAGAGGGUGGUCGGCCACACUGGAACUGAGACACGGUCCAGACUCCUACGGGAGGCAGCAGUAGGGAAUCGUCCGCAAUGGGCGAAAGCCUGACGGAGCAACGCCGCGUGAGUGAUGAAGGUCUUCGGAUCGUAAAACUCUGUUAUUAGGGAAGAACAUAUGUGUAAGUAACUGUGCACAUCUUGACGGUACCUAAUCAGAAAGCCACGGCUAACUACGUG
rnacentral:rRNA from 1 species